rnacentral:antisense_RNA from 1 species
CUCCUGGGAGCUUAACUUCUUAUCCAUCCCAUCUCUUGGACAGAUGAUGCCAGUUAAUUACUUUGAAU